rnacentral:lncRNA from 1 species
UCCAAUUAAAUGGACUUGACUCGAGCUAACCCAUAAACCCAUGAAUUAUGAAAUUUAUGUCUUAGAUCUUUGAUUCUCAAAUCUAAAUUACUUAAUUCUCAAUUAAGUUUUGGGCUAAUAUGGAUUAGGGUUCGACGUGUGAAAAUAGUUUCAAAUUUUAUAAAAUAUUUAUAUCAAAAUAUUUCUACUUUCUCCUAUGACCGGACAGCUAUGGGGAUCUAUCCAAUUUGAUUAUACACUACUCAA